GCAUUAGAAGCUCAGCGAUAAGAGCGCCGGUCUUGUAAGCCGGAGGUCGGAGGUUCAAAUCCCCCCUUUUGCU
rnacentral:tRNA from 1 species